UACAGAGGUCCCAAGCGUUUGUUCGGAUUCAUUGGGCGUAAAGGGUGCGUAGGCGGCGCGGUAAGUCGGGUGUGAAUCUCGGGGCUUAACUCCGAACUGCAUUCGAUACUGCCGUGCUUGAGGACUGGAGAGGAGACUGGAAUUUACGGUGUAGCGGUGAAAUGCGUAGAUAUCGUAAGGAAGACCAGUGGCGGAAGGCGGGUCUCUGGACAGUUCCUGACGCUGAGGCACGAAGGCCAGGGAGCAAACGGG
rnacentral:rRNA from 1 species